rnacentral:tRNA from 1 species
GUCCCCGUGGUCUAGUGGAUAGGGUGACAGCCUCCGGAGCUGUAGACACAGGUUCGAUUCCUGUCGGGGACGCCA